rnacentral:rRNA from 1 species
GUGUCAGCCGCCGCGGUAAGACAGAGGGUGCAAGCGUUGUUCGGAAUUACUGGGCGUAAAGGGCGCGUAGGCGGUCCGCUAAGUCUGGUGUGAAAUCCCCCGGCUCACCCGGGGAAGCGCGCCGGAAACUGACGGACUCGAGUACCGGAGAGGAGGGUGGAAUUCCUGGUGUAGCGGUGAAAUGCGUAGAUAUCAGGAGGAACACCGGUGGCGAAGGCGGCCCUCUGGACGAGUACUGACGCUGAGGCGCGAAAGCGUGGGGAUCAAACAGGAUUAGAAACCCUCGUAGUCC